GUGAAGUUCUUGCGUCCGUACUGCAGUCGAACGGUGAAAGAGAGCUUGCUCUCUGGAUCAGUGGCGAACGGGUGAGUAACACGUGAGCAAUCUGCCCUUGACUCUGGGAUAAGCGCUGGAAACGGCGUCUAAUACCGGAUACGAGCUGUGAAGGCAUCUUCAACAGCUGGAAAGAACUUCGGUCAAGGAUGAGCUCGCGGCCUAUCAGCUAGUUGGUGAGGUAAUGGCUCACCAAGGCGUCGACGGGUAGCCGGCCUGAGAGGGUGACCGGCCACACUGGGACUGAGACACGGCCCAGACUCCUACGGGAGGCAGCAGUGGGGAAUAUUGCACAAUGGGCGCAAGCCUGAUGCAGCAACGCCGCGUGAGGGACGACGGCCUUCGGGUUGUAAACCUCUUUUAGCAGGGAAGAAGCGAAAGUGACGGUACCUGCAGAAAAAGCACCGGCUAACUACGUGCCAGCAGCCGCGGUAAUACGUAGGGUGCAAGCGUUAUCCGGAAUUAUUGGGCGUAAAGAGCUCGUAGGCGGUUUGUCGCGUCUGCUGUGAAAACUGGGGGCUCAACCCCCAGCCUGCAGUGGGUACGGGCAGACUAGAGUGCGGUAGGGGGAGAUUGGAAUUCCUGGUGUAGCGGUGGAAUGCGCAGAUAUCAGGAGGAACACCGAUGGCGAAGGCAGAUCUCUGGGCCGUAACUGACGCUGAGGAGCGAAAGGGUGGGGAGCAAACAGGCUUAGAUACCCUGGUAGUCCACCCCGUAAACGUUGGGAACUAGUUGUGGGGACCAUUCCACGGUCUCCGUGA
rnacentral:rRNA from 1 species